rnacentral:rRNA from 1 species
CCUACGGGAGGCAGCAGUGAGGAAUAUUGGUCAAUGGCCGGAAGGCUGAACCAGCCAAGUCGCGUGAGGGACGACUGCCCUAUGGGUUGUAAACCUCUUUUAUAAGGGAAGAAUAAAUGCUACGUGUAGCAUUAUGCCUGUACCUUAUGAAUAAGCAUCGGCUAACUCCGUGCCAGCAGCCGCGGUAAUACGGAGGAUGCGAGCGUUAUCCGGAUUUAUUGGGUUUAAAGGGUGCGUAGGCGGUUUUUUAAGUUAGUGGUUAAACGUCGGGGCUUCACCUUGAUUUGCCAUUAAUACUGUAAGACUCGAGUUCAGACGAGGUAGGCGGAAUAAGUUAAGUAGCGGUGAAAUGCUUAGAUAUAACUUAGAACUCCGAUAGCGAAGGCAGCUUACCGGACUGCGACUGACGCUGAAGCACGAGAGCGUGGGUAGCGAACAGGAUUAGAUACCCUAGUAGUC